rnacentral:rRNA from 1 species
AUGGAGCACGCGACGGCGACGCUGGCGACGGAGCUGGACGGGCUGCUGGCCAUGGCGAGGGAGCUGGAGGCGCGGGUGGGCGCCGGCCAGGGCGUGCCGGGUGCCGCGAGGGAGCUCUGCGCCGCGCUGGCCGCGUCCAUCGACCGGGCCGUGCGCCUCGCCGGCAGUGGCGGCAAUGCCGGCGGCAGAGCGAGCGUGAACGGCAAGCUCAGGAGCGGCAGGAAGGCGGCGCUGGCGAAGGUGCGGACGGAGGUGCGCGUGGCGUCGAUGCAGGACCUGGGGCCGCUCGACGACGGGAUGAUCUGGCGGAAGUACGGCCAGAAGUACGGCCAGAAGGCCAGAAGGCACACGCAGGGCUGCGCCGCCACCAAGCAGGUGCAGCGCGCGACGGCCGACCCGCUGCUCUUCGACGUCGUGUACCUCGGCGCGCACACCUGCGCCCAGGCCGCCGCGAUCCUGACCGGCCCGGAACACCAGCCGCCGCCUGCUGCCUUCGGCCAGGAGCAGCAGAGCCCGCCGGAAGGGGUUCAGUGGCCGGCAGAGCCCGUGAGUCCGUUUUGCUUGCCCUCCUCGCCGGCGAGCUCCUGGUGCCAGCUUACCGGGAGCUACGGCUACGCGGCAGCGGGCGGCGGCCUCGGAGUUGACAUGGAGCUAGAAGGUCAACUCGACGAGCUGUUCUUGGACCUGUCAGGGAUUUUGUAA